rnacentral:pre_miRNA from 1 species
AGAGAGCAAUGCAGCCAAGGAUGAAUUGCCGGCGUAUAUCAUUACUUGGCAAUUUUUGCCGGCAGUUUGUUCCUUGGCUAUGUUGGGUUCCUU